GCCCGUGUAGUUUAGUUGGUUAUAACACCCCACUAGUAUUACAUGGUUACUUUAUGGGGAGGUCUGUCGUUCGAAUCGGCACAUGGGCA